rnacentral:lncRNA from 1 species
UAUGUCUUCUAGGCAUAGCCGGUCCCAAGCCCGGGUAAAGGAGGAGGGUUGUGAUAGGCUUGGCGAGCCAACGUAAAAACUAGCCAGUCCCAUGGGUAUGAAACCCAUUUGAGCGAGAGUAGUACUAGGAUGGGUGACCUCCUGGGAAGUCCUUGUGAAAGGGUUUCAUAUCUAAGGGUUGUGGUAGGCUUGGCGAGCCAACGCAAAAACUAGCCAGUCUUUUGGGUAUGAAACCCAUUUGGGCGAGAAUAGUACUAGGAUGGGUGACCUCCUGGGAAGUCCUCGUGAAAGGCUUUCAUAUCUAGCCUACCCCAACUUGUUUGGGAUAAAAGGCUUCGUAAGUAAGUAAGGUUAUAUGAUAUGGAACA